ensembl:lncRNA
UGAAAGAAAACCGCCGAUCCCGAUUCUAUAGCCGUGUCCACCUCUCGGCGACCCCAUGGACUGUAGUCCGCCGGGCUCCUCUGUCCAUGGGAUUUCCAGGCAAGAAUCCUGGAGUGGGUUACCAUUUCCUCCUCCAUUCCUUCAGAAAUGAAGGGAAGGGUGGAAGACACUCUCAGGAAUUGGAGUGAAAACUGACCUUUUCCAGUCCUGUGGCCACUGCUGAGUUUUCCAACUUUGCUGGCAUAUUGAGUGCAGCACUUUCACAGCAUCAUCUUCAGGAUUUGAAAUAGCUCAACUGGAAUUCCAUCACCUCCACUAGCUUCAUUCAAAGUGAUGCUUCCUAAGGCCCACUUGACUUCACAUUCCAGGAUGUCUGGCUCUAGAGAAAGAAUUCACAGAAUGAGAUGAAAAGUUCUGCUCAGGGGUCGUCCUAUUUAUGACUGCCCCAUUGGCUCCUCCAGGCAACCGAGGCAGACAGAGGAAGUACCUUCAGUUCCCCGGCCUCCCGCACUUCCCACCCAACCACGAGGCCCACAUCACUGUGCCCCUGGAGCCCUUCUGAACAAGGUCCCUGACCCGUCCUCAGACAUCCCGUCUGUGUUGUCCCAUCUGCCUCCUUCCUGGUCCUCCAGCCCAGGCCCCACCCCUUACUCCCGUUCAUCUCUCACUACCUCCCAAAGGACCUCACCCGUAUCAGGUCUGAGCCUGCCCCGUUCAAAAUCCUUUCAACAGUUUCCACCUUCAAAAACGUGGGCCCAGGUGCACCGCCCCAUGUUCCAGGCUUUGGCGGGUCAGCCCCACUAAACAGCUCUCCCUCCUAGACCAGACUCGUCACACUUAACCACAUAUCCCCAAGCACCCACAAACACAGACCUACUUAACAACUCUGUGCCUCCACAGACCGUCCCCUCAGCCAGUCUGAACAGGGCUGUCCCUUCCAACCUGCUGGACCAAGAAGCCUUCCUUUCUUAUUCCAGUGUAAAAUACGUGAAGUCACUCGGUCAUGUCCAACUCUUUGCAACCCCAUGGACUGUAGCCCGCCAGGUUCCUCUGUCCAAGGGAUUUUCCAGGCAAGAAUACUGGAGUGGGUUGCCAUUUCCUUCUCCAGGGGAUCUUCAUGACCCAGGGAUUGAACCUGGGUCUCCCUCACUGCAGGUAGACGGUACCGUCUGAGCUACCAGGGAAACCCAGUGUAAAUAUAUUUCGAGUUAUACGUUCCCGUAAGGUUUAUCUAUGUGAACGACUUAAAACACUGGUCAACACGCCAUCCAGAAGCCAGAUCAAUGUUGGUAUUUUACUGUGAAUGGGGUUCAUUAUCAAUAGAGCCCUCUUGCGUUACACUCUCCACAUGGUGGUAAUCUUUCUAAACUAGAAAUCACUUAAUACUGUCUGCUGCUGAAAACCUUCCCACUGCUUUAAAGA